GGGAGCGAACAGGAUUAGAUACCCUGGUAGUCCAUGCCGUAAACGUUGGGCACUAGGUGUGGGGACCAUUCCACGGUUUCCGCGCCGCAGCUAACGCAUUAAGUGCCCCGCCUGGGGAGUACGGCCGCAAGGCUAAAACUCAAAGGAAUUGACGGGGGCCCGCACAAGCGGCGGAGCAUGCGGAUUAAUUCGAUGCAACGCGAAGAACCUUACCAAGGCUUGACAUGUUCCCGAUCGCCGUAGAGAUACGGUUUCCCCUUUGGGGCGGGUUCACAGGUGGUGCAUGGUUGUCGUCAGCUCGUGUCGUGAGAUGUUGGGUUAAGUCCCGCAACGAGCGCAACCCUCGUUCCAUGUUGCCAGCACGUAAUGGUGGGGACUCAUGGGAGACUGCCGGGGUCAACUCGGAGGAAGGUGAGGACGACGUCAAAUCAUCAUGCCCCUUAUGUCUUGGGCUUCACGCAUGCUACAAUGGCCGGUACAAUGGGUUGCGAUACUGUGAGGUGGAGCUAAUCCCAAA
rnacentral:rRNA from 1 species